UUCGCAAUGCCCGAAAGGGUGACGAAGCGACGCCGCGUGCGGGAGGAAGGCCUUCGGGUUGUAAACCGCUGUCGGGAGUUAAGAAAUGCAAGGAUGUUAAUAGCGUUCUUGCUUGACUAAGGCUCCGGAGGAAGCCACGGCUAACUCUGUGCCAGCAGCCGCGGUAAUACAGAGGCGGCAAGCGUUGUUCGGAAUUAUUGGGCGUAAAGAGCACGUAGGCGGCUGUGUAAGUCGGUUGUGAAAGCCUUCCGCUCAACGGAAGAACGGCAUCCGAUACUGCAUGGCUUGAGUGUGGGAGGGGAGAGUGGAACUUCUGGUGGAGCGGUGAAAUGCGUAGAUAUCAGAAGGAACACCGGCGGCGAAGGCGACUCUCUGGUCCAUAACUGACGCUGAGUGUGCGAAAGCUAGGGGAGCGAACGGGAUUAGAUACCCCGGUAGUCCUGGCCGUAAACGAUGGGCACUAAGUAGAGGGGUUUU
rnacentral:rRNA from 1 species